AGCCCCGGGCUUAACCUGGGAACUGCAUUUAAAACUGGGUAACUAGAGUUUAGGAGAGGGAAGUGGAAUUUCAGGUGUAGCAGUGAAAUGCGUAGAGAUCUGAAGGAACACCAGUGGCGAAGGCGACUUCCUGGACUAAAACUGACGCUGAGGAACGAAAGCGUGGGUAGCAAACGGGAUUAGAUACCCCGGUAGUCCACGCCGUAAACGAUGUCAACUAGCCGUUGGGCCUAUAUACAGGUUUAGUGGCGGAGCUAACGUAUUAAGUUGACCGCCUGGGGAGUACGGCCGCAAGGUUAAAACUCAAAUGAAUUGACGGGGGCCCGCACAAGCGGUGGAGCAUGUGGUUUAAUUCGAUGCAACGCGAAGAACCUUACCUACCCUUGACAUCCAGAGAAUCUGUUAGAGAUAGUAGAGUGCCUUCGGGAACUCUGAGACAGGUGCUGCAUGGCUGUCGUCAGCUCGUGUCGUGAGAUGUUGGGUUAAGUCCCGUAACGAGCGCAACCCUUAUCCUUAGUUGCUAGCAGG
rnacentral:rRNA from 1 species